GAUGAACGCUGGCGGCGUGCUUAACACAUGCAAGUCGAACGGAAAGGCCCUGCUUUUGUGGGGUGCUCGAGUGACGAACGGGUGAGUAACACGCGAGUAACCUGUCCUUGUCUUUGGGAUAUCUUCAGGAAACUGGGGCUCAUACCGGAUAGGAGCUACUGAUGCAUGGUGGGGGUUGGAAAGUUUCGGCGGUUGGGGAUGGACUCGCGGCUUAUCAGCUUGUUGGUGAGGUAGUGGCUUACCAAGGCUUUGACGGGUAGCCGGCCUGAGAGGGUGACCGGGCACAUUGGGACUGAGGUACGGCGCAGACUCCUACGGGAGGCAGCAGGGGAGAAUAUUGCGGAGUGGGCGGGAGCCUGAGACGGCGGCGCCGCGUGCGGGAUGACGGCCUUCGGGUUGUGAACCGCUGUCGCCUGUGACGUGGCGGGAGUGACGGUAAUGGAUAAAGAAGCACCGGCUAACUACGUG
rnacentral:rRNA from 1 species